rnacentral:tRNA from 1 species
GGCUUCUUGCCUAACGGGUGAGGCGUCAGACUUCGGAUCUGAGGAUUGCAGGUUCGAGUCCUGCCAGAGUCG